GACGAACGCUGGCGGCGUGCUUAACACAUGCAAGUCGAGCGAACAAAGCUCCUUCGGGAGUGGAGUUAGCGGCGGACGGGUGAGUAACACGUGGGUAACCUGCCUUAUAGAGGGGGAUAGCCUUCCGAAAGGAAGAUUAAUACCGCAUAAGAAGUAGAAGUCGCAUGGCUUUAGCUUUAAAGGAGAAAUCCGCUAUAAGAUGGACCCGCAGCGCAUUAGCUAGUUGGUGAGGUAACGGCUCACCAAGGCGACGAUGCGUAGCCGACCUGAGAGGGUGAUCGGCCACAUUGGAACUGAGACACGGUCCAG
rnacentral:rRNA from 1 species